GGUGGGUCGCCCCGCAUGUUCAAACCAUGAACCUGGUCAGGUCCGGAAGGAAGCAGCCACAGUGGUGUAGGCAGUGCCGGGGGAACGGCUCACCACU
rnacentral:SRP_RNA from 1 species